rnacentral:rRNA from 1 species
UGAACUCGCUGUGAAGAUGCAGUGUACCCGCGGCAAGACGGAAAGACCCCGUGAACCUUUACUAUAGCUUGACACUGAACAUUGAGCCUUGAUGUGUAGGAUAGGUGGGAGGCUUUGAAGUGUGGACGCCAGUCUGCAUGGAGCCGACCUUGAAAUACCACCCUUUAAUGUUUGAUGUUCUAACGUUGACCCGUAAUCCGGGUUGCGGACAGUGUCUGGUGGGUAGUUUGACUGGGGCGGUCUCCUCCUAAAGAGUAACGGAGGAGCACGAAGGUUGGCUAAUCCUGGUCGGACAUCAGGAGGUUAGUGCAAUGGCAUAAGCCAGCUUGACUGCGAGCGUGACGGCGCGAGCAGGUGCGAAAGCAGGUCAUAGUGAUCCGGUGGUUCUGAAUGGAAGGGCCAUCGCUCAACGGAUAAAAGGUACUCCGGGGAUAACAGGCUGAUACCGCCCAAGAGUUCAUAUCGACGGCGGUGUUUGGCACCUCGAUGUCGGCUCAUCACAUCCUGGGGCUGAAGUAGGUCCCAAGGGUAUGGCUGUUCGCCAUUUAAAGUGGUACGCGAGCUGGGUUUAGAACGUCGUGAGACAGUUCGGUCCCUAUCUGCCGUGGGCGCUGGAGAACUGAGGGGGGCUGCUCCUAGUACGAGAGGACCGGAGUGGACGCAUCACUGGUGUUCGGGUUGUCAUGCCAAUGGCACUGCCCGGUAGCUAAAUGCGGAAGAGAUAAGUGCUGAAAGCAUCUAAGCACGAAACUUGCCCCGAGAUGAGUUCUCCCUGACUCCUUGAGAGUCCUGAAGGAACGUUGAAGACGACGACGUUGAUAGGCCGGGUGUGUAAGCGCAGCGAUGCGUUGAGCUAACCGGUACUAAUGAACCGUGAGG